ensembl:lncRNA
UUAAGGGUUGGCAGGGGAGGCAAAGCUAUUUCAUUGAAGAUCCCUGUAUACUUGAGGCCUUCUAAAGAACAAUCCCCUCAGAUCCAGAAGCCAUUUGUGAAGAUUUCUGGAGUCGGUGUCUGCCACAGAGAUUUCUCUGGAGUCUUAAGGACUACUCCAAAGAUCAGAGAUGUGUAUCACGGUAGUCCAUGUGAGUUUUUCCAUUAUCCUGUUUUGGAGUGUGAUUCUUGACUGUGAGAACAGGGACCAUGGCUGAAGAGGCAGCUGGAACUAAGGAACCAUGGGUGGCUGCAGGAGAAAAAUCAGCCCUCAGAAAGCCAGCCAUCAGUGCAGUCGUCCAGGCCAUCGUGCUCCAAUGAUGGGGAAAGCGAAGCUCAACCAACCUGAUUGCUGCUCUCCAGUGGCAAGCAGGCCGGUCAGAUGGGGAAGCUGAGUGUCUUUCAUAUGCGGAUGUCUGCACCAUGAGUGCAGGCUUAAUUAGAAUUUUCCAAUUAGCUGAUUGCAAAUUUUUAUGAGGUUAACUAGUGGUAACCUCCACAUCACUCAUAGCAGGGGCAUUAGGGUUUAUAGGCCUUAAAAAUGCCACCAGCAGGUGGAGAACAAGUGACAUGAAUCACACACACAUGAGCACACAUGCACUCAAUCUCGAGCCAUUGCUGGAACUUGCAGAGUUGGAUUUUACAACUAGAAUACCAGUUCCCAAAUCCUUUCCAGUUGCAGCUUUACAUGUGGAUGCAAAUCGAACUUCUGGCUUAGCACAGAAACAGAAUUGUCAUCAUGCCUUCCUGAGGUUGCAGCCUGUAUGUUUGGAAGUGCUGUGUUAGAGACUUACAUGGCCUCUACAUAUGCUUCUGCUAACGUGAGAUGUUUGUGUAUUUAAAUGUAGCUUCCAUGUACAUCAUAUAUGUUAUGCUCAAAGUGAUAUUUCCAUCUUCAAAAUACUAUAAAAUUAUUGCCUGUCUUUGUAUAUUAUUCCAGCAAGAACAAGGACCUUGAGUUCUGUGUAUGUCAGUGGAAAGCUGCCUAAUGUUCCAUGCAUCUAAUGUGGCUUUUGUUAGUGGUUGCACUUGUGUUUUUCUGCAUACUGUAAUAUAUUAAGAAAUGCCUCUCAAUCUCAUGAGAUGUAACCAGGGAAAAGGGAGGCUGUGGUGAAGGCUCUGUGUUUCAUGCCUUCGUGCUGACCUUUGUAAAUUGAAUAAAUACAUGAAUU